UCUGUUGUACCACAUAUUUUAAUAUUAUAAAAUUUGUAUUUACAUUAAAAAGUUCCAGACUAGUAGGAAUCACAAUGGACCUACAGUGAGCACCCCAGCAAAGAAUAUAUUCAAGCUUAUUAGCUUCCAGCUAUUGCUGGAAAAUGGAAAUUUCUAUAAUGAUAUGGAGGCCAACAAAGACUCCAGAGCAUGUCUAGCAGCGCCUCAUAGGGCUAUCCUGCCCACGACUCCCAGUCCACCAGCCGCGCCGGUCCGUCGACUAAUCACAACUCCAACCCGGUCAACCGCAACAGGAGCCACAAGAAGAUGAGAUGGUGCUGGAGAUGAAGGUGAUCGAAGCCAAUGACCACUUAUACACCCGCGAAAUGAUGCGGUGAAAAAAACUAUGGUCUUUUUUUAACAUUAAUGUUAUAACUUUAUUUGCUUAGACUGAUUUGAAAUAUUCUUUAUUGAAAG